CAAUGAAGGAAGCAUAGUAAUGUGCAUAUAAAUUGAAUUGGGUCUCUAGACUUGCCCUCUCUGAUGUAAUUUGACUUUGAUUUGGGAGCAUGAUUCCCCAACAAAACA